rnacentral:SRP_RNA from 1 species
GCUGGGCAUGGUGGCGCAUGCCUGUAAUCCCAGCGGCUCAGGAGGCUGAGACAGGAGGAUCACGAGUUCAAAGCCAGCCUCAGCAAAGGUGCUAAGCAGCUCAGUGACACCCUGUCUCAG